GAUGAACGCUAGCGGCAGGCCUAAUACAUGCAAGUCGAGGGGUAGAAGAGGCUUGCUUCUUUGAGACCGGCGCACGGGUGCGUAACGCGUAUGCAACCUACCUUCAUCUGGGGGAUAGCCCGGAGAAAUCCGGAUUAAUACCGCAUAAAAUCACAGGAUGGCAUUAUCCAAUGAUCAAACAUUUAUGGGAUGGAGUUGGGCAUGCGUGUCAUUAGCUAGUUGGCGGGGUAACGGCCCACCAAGGCGACGAUGACUAGGGGAUCUGAGAGGAUGGCCCCCCACACUGGUACUGAGACACGGACCAGACUCCUACGGGAGGCAGCAGUAAGGAAUAUUGGUCAAUGGAGGCAACUCUGAACCAGCCAUGCCGCGUGCAGGAAGACUGCCCUAUGGGUUGUAAACUGCUUUUAUUCGGGAAUAAACCUUAUUACGUGUAAUAAGCUGAAUGUACCGAAGGAAUAAGGAUCGGCUAACUCCGUGCCAGCAGCCGCGGUAA
rnacentral:rRNA from 1 species